rnacentral:lncRNA from 1 species
UUUCUGGACUAUCUCCCUGCAACGUAUUAUAGAAUAGUUUCUGCUUGCAACCAUGAAUCCUGACUGCUACAUGUGGAAGUGUGUUCUACAGGACUAAGGCAGAGGCUGAGGCAUCAUCAGCCUACCUGAGAUGAUGGAAUAAUUCAAGGAUCGGAAAGUGAAUCAAAGCAGAAUGCAUGGGAGAAAACAGGACAGUUUUUUAGUCUGCUCAUCAACAUCA